ACACACACACACUCUGUCAGCCAGAGAUAACAACAGAUUUCAAAAUAAAACGAAUGAAAACAAUAUGAAUGCAGGCAAAAAUUCGAAAUAAAAUUAUAUAUUCUGUGUUUAUUUGUAGUUCGUCAUGUUUAAAUUUCACAUAUAAUGCAUGACAAAAUAUGUCUUUUUAAAGAUGGAUUGUGCUACACUAACCAUAUAGCCUCACCCCUGUGACCUCUCCCAUCCCCCACACCUUUUUUUUUUUUUUUUUUCAGAUUGCUUCGGCCCCAGUCGAGAGGUUUUGGGCGUUGGAGCAUCAGAGAGAUUUUGCAUACAGCUGUAUUCAAGUCUGGGGUAACUACGCUGACAGGCUGAUGGAGGAGCGUUAUGUAAAUGAGAAAUGCUUCCAGAGAAACAGCAGAAUGGAGUCCAGGAGAUGCACCGUUCUCCAUCGCUGUAACCAAGGGCAGACGAUGUGAGGAUGCAGCCUACAGAGAAAUGGAGCGUGCGAAUUCUGCGACUCUACUGGCACCAUGAUUUCGCCGUUGAGGGGAAUGAGCAGGAUAAGUGGCGGCCAUGAUUGGUUACAGCAGUGGCAGCCUGUGUUCAUCUCGCUCCCCCCUGUGCCUGCUCAUGCGAGACGCUCCGAGAGUGUGUCCUCCUUGGAGAAGACAUGUGUCCCUAUACAUAUAUGUCCAGAGAAUGUAUGUCUGCUUUCUCCUAAAAAAUACAGCCGAUUGGACUGUUGUCAGGCUAUUAAAUAGGCUUUAUCAGUUGCUAUAAGCGACCGUCGUAAUUUUGACAGGAGUCUAAGCAGAAGUCAGGCGCUGUAGUAUAGACAAUGUGAAACUCCAUACGGGUGGAGGUAGGGGACGAUGGAACCAACAAUGUGUAGUUGUCUUUGUGUUCGUAGUUAUUUUAACCCAAAACACGAUGAUUUUCCCUUAACUGAACUUACCCUAACUCUUUUUUUGCCUAAACCUAAAGAAGUUGUUAUUGUAUUGCCUAAACCUGUUUUUUUCCUAAAUCUAAAGACGUUGUAAUUUUGUUGCCUAAACCUAAAGACGUUGUAAUUU